rnacentral:snRNA from 1 species
GGAUGUGAGGGCGAUCUGGCUGCGACAUCUGUCACCCCAUUGACCGCCAGGGUUGAUUCGGCUGAUCUGGCUGGCUAGGCGGGUGUCCCCUUCCUCCCUCACCACUCCAUGUGCGUCCCUCCUGAAGCUACGCGCCAGGUAGAAGAGGACGACCAUCCAAAUAGAGGAGGACCGUUCUUCGGUCAAGGGUAUACGAGUAGCUGUGCUCCCCUGCUAGAACCUCCAAACAAGCUCUCAAGAGAGGCCACAAUGUGAGUGAGCCAGGGUUACUACUUUUGCCUACUUUUUUUUUUUUUUUGGUGGUACUGGGGUUUGAA